GUUUGUCGAACCUCCCCAGCCAUCAGCCUUCAACAACGCCAUCCAGACUUCCACAGGAUCUCCAGACUUCUCUAGCGGACGAACCUCCCCAACGCCACCCGAAGUCCACCAUCGGCUGACCCUCCGCCAGAUUCUUCAUGAAAUCGAACUUCUCCGACGGAUAAUCUUCAGACGAGCUUUCACAUCAGGCAAAUAUCAGACGGACUUCUCUA
rnacentral:lncRNA from 1 species